CUGUGCUAGAUGGGGAGUUAGCGGUGCCUUGUAACCUGCAAUCCGCUUCAGCAGGGUCGAAUUCCUGCCAGAGUAUGAGCAUUUGUAAAGCUGGAAAGAGUAAGUGGUGUUGAGACCUGGGUCUCGCGCAACGGAAGACUGUGAACCCCGUCAGGUCCGGAAGGAAGCAGCGGUAAGCGGACCCUUUUGUGUGCCGCGAGGGUGCCUAGAUUGAGCUAACUGCUUUGAUACCGUUUAUGAUACUCACACGAAGGCAGGUGCACAG
rnacentral:SRP_RNA from 2 species